UACGAAGGGGGCUAGCGUUGCUCGGAAUUACUGGGCGUAAAGGGCGCGUAGGCGGAUAGUUUAGUCAGAGGUGAAAGCCCGGGGCUCAACCCUGGAAUUGCCUUUGAUACUGGCUAUCUUGAGUUCGGGAGAGGUGAGUGGAACUCCGAGUGUAGAGGUGAAAUUCGUAGAUAUUCGGAAGAACACCAGUGGCGAAGGCGACUCACUGGCCCGAUACUGACGCUGAUGCACGAAAGCUGGGGGAGCAAACAGG
rnacentral:rRNA from 1 species